GUGCAACACAUACACUAAAAGUGGAACAAGACAGAGAAGAUGAGCAUUGUCCCCCAAGCAAGGAUGGCGUGAAAAUCCCUGAAACCUUUCAUAUUUUU
ensembl:snRNA U6 U6 spliceosomal RNA